GUUUCUAGGGUGUCUCCGCACGUUAGAUUUUCGUUCUAAAGGGAUAAAAUUAUAUUAUUAGAAAUA
rnacentral:tRNA from 2 species